rnacentral:tRNA from 1 species
GUCCCCAUCGUCUAGCGGCCUAGGACAACGGCCUUUCGAGCCGUCGGCGCCGGUUCAAACCCGGCUGGGGACG